UGGUCUCGUAGUGUAGCGGUUAACACGCCUGCCUGUCACGCAGGAGAUCGCGGGUUCGAUUCCCGUCGAGACCGCCAU
rnacentral:tRNA from 4 species